rnacentral:snRNA from 1 species
UAUAAAUGUGAUAUUUGUUU